AUUAGGCAUUCCAGGAGCAAUUGCUUCUCAGGCCCCGUAUUCUUAACUCUGUCUUUAGUGUCAGGGCUAGAAACAAAUAGAAGGAUGAUUUUUAAAAGUCUGCUGCCUAUUUCACAGUAUAGUUAGUGGUGGUGGGGGGGGAGUCAAGGAUUGUUAUCUUUCCAGUUCUGUGCACCUGCAGUCCAAAAAGACCAGGAUCAUUCAAACAGUAAGCCCUGGUUCUUGAUUCUCUGCU
rnacentral:lncRNA from 1 species